rnacentral:sRNA from 2 species
AUCACUGCUAAUCUAUCGCUGCUAAUCUAUCACUGCUAAUCUAUCGCUGCUAAUCUAUCACUGCUAAUCUAUCACCGUCAAUCUAUCUACCGCUGUCAAUCUAUCUACCGCUGCCAAUCUAUCUAUCGCUGCCAAUCUAUAUAGGGUAAAUCAUGGUCCCAUUUGGUCCCAUUUUGUAAAAUGGAACUAAAUGAGAUCAGAAUCACUAAUUUAUUAGUAAAACAUGAUCUGAGACUAGAUUUAUAAUAUAAACAGUGUAAAGUGACUAAUUUGCUAAACAUUAUAUGAGAUCAGAACUAAGAUAUCUAAUAAUGAAACUGAGGAAAAAUUUAGUCUCAGUUUCAUGCAUGGUCACACAACAAAUUUCAGAGACUAUUGCACAGCUCUGAUCAAUUAUUUUGAAAGAUAUAUACAAUACUCUGAUAUAUACUGUCUUUAUAGAGAUA